rnacentral:rRNA from 1 species
AGCGAACGCUGGCGGCAGGCCUAACACAUGCAAGUCGAGCGCCCCGCAAGGGGAGCGGCAGACGGGAGAGUAACACGUGGGAACGUACCCUUCAGCUCGGAACAACCCAGGGAAACUUGGGCUAAUACCGGAUACGUCCGUACGGAGAAAGAUUUAUCGCUGAAGGAUCGGCCCGCGUCUGAUUAGGUAGUUGGUGAGGUAACGGCCCACCAAGGCGACGAUCAGUAGCUGGUCUGAGAGGAUGAUCAGCCUCACUGGGACUGAGACACGGCCCAGACUCCUACGGGAGGCAGAAGUGGGGAAUAUUGGACAAUGGGCACAAGCCUGAUCCAGCCAUGCCGCGUGGAUGAUGAAGGCCCUAGGGUUGUAAAGUCCUUUUAACGGGGAAGAUAAUGACGGUACCCGUAGAAUAAGCCCCGGCUAACUUCGUGCCAGCCGCCGCCGUAA